rnacentral:rRNA from 1 species
UACGUAGGGUGCAAGCGUUAAUCGGAAUUACUGGGCGUAAAGCGUGCGCAGGCGGUUUUGUAAGUCUGGCGUGAAAUCCCCGGGCUCAACCUGGGAAUUGCGAUGGAGACUGCAAGGCUAGAAUCUGGCAGAGGGGGGUAGAAUUCCACGUGUAGCAGUGAAAUGCGUAGAGAUGUGGAGGAACACCGAUGGCGAAGGCAGCCCCCUGGGCUGAGAUUGACGCUCAGGCACGAAAGCGUGGGGAGCAAACAGG